rnacentral:rRNA from 1 species
AUUGAACGCUGGCGGCGUGCCUAACACAUGCAAGUCGAGCGGAAAUAAUUAAAGUUUACUUUGAUUAUUUUAGCGGCGGACGGGUGAGUAACACGUGGGCAACCUGCCCUUGAGAGGGGGAUAACACAGAGAAAUUUGUGCUAAUACCGCAUAACAUUUAGACUUCGCCUGGAGUUUAAAUCAAAGGAGUAAUCCGCUCAAGGAUGGGCUCGCGGCGCAUUAGCUAGUUGGUGAGGUAAUGGCUCACCAAGGCGACGAUGCGUAGCCGACCUGAGAGGGUGAUCGGCCACGUUGGAACUGGGACACGGGCCAGACUCCUACGGGAGGCAGCAGUGGGGAAUAUUGCGCAAUGGGGGAAAGCCUGACGCAGCAACGCCGCGUGAGCGAUGAAGGCCGUCGGGUUGUAAAGCUCUGUCUUUGGGGACGAUAAUGACGGUACCCAAGGAGGAAGCCACGGCUAACUACGUGCCAGCAGCCGCAUUAACAC